rnacentral:rRNA from 1 species
AUCGAACGCUGGCGGCAGGCUUAACACAUGCAAGUCGAGCGGAGCGGCGGACGGGUGCGUAAUGCUUAGGAAUCUGCCUGGUAGUGGGGGAUAACGUCCGGCAACGGGCGCUAAUACCGCAUACUAUCAGAUGAGCCUAGGUCGGAUUGGGUAGUGGGGGGGGUAAAGGCCUACCAAGGCGACGAUGCGUAACUGGUCUGAGAGGAGGAUCAGUCACACUGGAAGGGGGACACGGUCCGGACUCCUACGGGAGGCAGCAGGGGGGAAUAUUGGACAAUGGGCGAAAGCCUGAUCCAGCCAUGCCUCGUGUGUGAAGAAGGUCUUCGGAUUGUAAAGCACUUUAAGUUGGGAGGCGUUACCAACAGAAUAAGCACCGGCUAACUUCGUGCCAGCCGCCGCGGUAAUUC